rnacentral:miRNA from 1 species
UCACAGCCAAUUUUGAUGAGA